GAAAAGCAGAGGAACCGUGGCCAAGAACAAUUUCUGGGAGCAACCGUGGGAUAGUCAGCACCUUAGGAGGUGAAUCUUGGUCCAAAGGCAAGCACAGCAGGCUCUAAAGGACUGAAGCACAAGUUCACUGACUCUGAGGGUUCCAAAGAAGGUGAUCAUGGGUUCCCCUUCCAGUCUUUGUGGCUCAACCUAUAAGAAAAUUAUAGAGUUACUAGAGCAGAGCCAGCUGCCGGAAUGCCACCAUGGAGAGCAAAACCUUGCCUGCAGCCAUGCAACUAACAAGCCAUCUGACCCUGGAUUUGUAAGGUGAAGCCAAUGUCUGAGCCUCAUCGCCUUGCGCUGGGUGU